GUGCGGACCCGGCAGGGCCCGGGCGCCGCCGCCGCGGCAGGGAGCACACACGCGCUCGCGCAAGCAGCUAAAUCCAUCAAAGCCCCGCGCCCGGCUCCGCGCCGGGGCUCCGCGCCCCUCCCUCGAGCUUGCCCACCCUCCAGUGCCAGCUGCAAUCCUGCGGCACCGGGUGGGGAGGGAGGAGGCCGCCGCAGAAGCGCCGCCGUCGCCGGCUCGCCUCUCUCGGGCCCCAGCGGCGGCAGCGGGCAGCGCCCAGAGCUGCUGCGCCAAAAAGGGCCAGAGAGCCGGUCCCCGCCCCCGCCCCGGCGCUCCGGCCGCUCUCCACGGUUCGGAUCCAGGGCCCCAGCCUUCCUCUCUCCAUAAAAGGAGGGGGAGUCAGUCUUUGGGGAAGGAGGGGGGCGGGUUUGGGGCACUCACCUGGCGGCUGCCACGCGCCCCCGCCCAGGAUCCGAGGCCUGGGGCAUCUGAAUGAGGACCCUCCACCCACAUUUCCACUUGGGAGCGAGCUCCAGUCGGGGAAAGGGCCUGCAGCCCGCCUCGUCCCCACCCUGGGACCCCGCGCCCCCCAGUCCCCCACUCCCGCGCCGAAGGCAGGGCCGCGCCCUGAGCCGGGAAGUCGAGGGGAUGGAAGGGAAAGGAGCCACCGGUGAGGGUCCCCCGGGUUCUGAGCCUCCCGCGUCGGGAUCCGUGGGGCGCACAGAGCGCCACCUCCGGCCGAGGCGCAGCUCAGAGCGCGAUGCGGGGGAGGAACGCGCGCGGAGGCCGAGGUCUGAGCGUGGCUAGACGGCUCCCACGCCGAGAAAGGGCGGGUGCGCCUGGGCUGGAUGGAUUUCGCCUCCCUAGACCAGGAGGGAUUGGACCCUGACUACAGGUCCAGGUGCUCGUCAGUGCCCUGCCAGGGGGUCUACGCGUCCUGGUACCGGGUCCAGCGGGGUGGCGUGCUGUGCAGACCCCGAGGCUAGACGGCCUAGGCCCCUGGAGCCCAGGAGACGCUUCCUUGGGGGGAACUUGCGGCUUGGGAGGGGACACCCACUGCAUGGCUUCUGGAAAGAGCCGGACUCGCAGGGCCAGGACGCAGGCCGGACCCCGGCCUCAUUCUUCGGCCAGUUAUCCCGGAGUGGCGCGCAUCCUGUCUUCCUGGGCCUCGGACUGCUCGCGCGCAGAGGGGGCCCGAGGACACCUCUGUGGGGUUAGAGGACUCGGUAAGACGGUGUGGAAGGCAAGGAGGAAGGUCGCGUUGUAUUGGGGAUGGGGUACCCGUCCCUCCCAGCUUGAGGGAUCCUGGGGGUCCUCGCCGCCUCUGAGGGCCUAGAUGGCUGCUUCCCUCGGCUCCCCUGCCCGGCCUGGAGCUACGGGUGCGCCCAGCUAGAGUUUAGGGCCACCUGGGGACGUGCAAGGGGCGCUGGAGCGAGGCGGGGGCUGGGGCGGGGCGUGGGUGCUUCACCCGCGGGGGACGCAGAGCUUAGGCGAAAGCGGUGCAGGCAUCUCUCUAAUCGCCGGCCGCUAUUAAAAAUAAAACCGCGACCCGUCGCCAUGGCGACCACAACAACAGCGGCCGCGCGAGGGAGGCGAAAACUUGUGCAGCCGCGCGACAGCCGCCUUCUGGGGAGACUCGGGGCACGACGCACCCGGCGUGGGACUGGGACCCCCCUGCCCGGCCCCGCCACAUUCUCCGCCGGAUCCCCGGAAGACACAAGGAGACGUGGACCCCCACAGGCUUUUUUGGGGGGAUUGGGCGUUGAAACCGCAGGGCUGACUUAACCAAGAGGUCACCGACUUGGAUAAAAAACCCACGCCCGCGCGGACCCCCCUCCCCGGCCUUCGUUUCCAUUCAAACUCCCAGCGUCCUCAUUGCAGCCCCUGGGGAGGGGGACGGAGGGACGAGGUGGGUUUCAGGUGCUCGGCCCAGGAGGGGACGGUGCGACCCGGGCCCCGCCGGCGGGUUUUGCGCGCGGAGGCUGCGGCACCUGCCCCGCCCGCCCUGCCGCGAUCCUUGCAGACGGGGGCGGUCACAUGCUUCUUUCUGGCCAGGAAUCGAGUUUCACUUCCAGCCGCUAUUAGUCGGUUCACACAGUUCACUGCAAACAUUUGAUAAUGAGGCUAAAUAUACUCCCGCGUCGGAGGAGGCGUGGGCGUCCCCGCCCAGGCCCGGGAGACAGAGGCGCUGACCCCGGGACAGAGCCUGGCUUUGUGCGGGAGGCAGACGCGCCCCGCGCGCCGCCCCCGAAACAUUCGCACCCCAUGCUGAGGCGCGCGUCUGGGAGUCCGUGGGCGCCCCGAGGUGAGCCCGGGGCCCCUGGCGGAAGCAGCGGGGAGCUCCCGGCGGGUGCGGGGAGGUGCUGGUGGGAAGCAAGGUGCACCUGGCGGCCUGGGAUGUCCGGUCGCCCCCGGAGCCGGUGCAUCCGGCCUCUCCCGGCGCGCCCCGACGUGCCCGCGGGCUCAUAAUUACCGUGAGUCAGGUGCCCCAAAUAGGCCGAGCGAGGGGGGCCGUCGCGCAGCAGGGGCGGGUGGCCGGACGUCUGCCCGGGACUGGUUGCCUCCCGCCCCUCCCCAAGACCCUGGCACCCAGGGAGGGCGGGAAAGGCCUUGGCCAUUCCUCUGGGUAGGGGACUGGAGAGGGGAAGAAACUUUCGCCGAGUCCAGCGCUGCCCCCUCAUACCCAUCCCCACCCAGGCUGCGUGUCCGGGGCCCCUCCGGGGCUUGGCACCAGCAGGCACGCAGCGAUCGCCGUCGUUGUUAUUUAGUAGUAGUAGUAACGGCUGACAUUUACAGCGACGUCGAUGGCGCCAGGUGCCAAGCUCUUUCCUUGUAUAAUUUCAUGGACACUCACGCAUCAACUCUAAGCGAAGACUUGGAGCGGGGCUCAGCACCCCAGGGGUACCUCUGCAACCUCGCAUUAAUUAAGUCAUUAUCUCAGGCCCCCAGCGACUAGGGAUCAGGCCUUUCCAGUUCACACUCUCCAGAAAGGGAGAUAACUGCCCCGCCAGCAGGGUGGGAAGGCUCUCUCUCCAUGUUGUUUUAACUCCCUAUUAAAUCAUUUUAUUUUAAAUACACAAACAGAAAUGAAGUUGAAAAUAGCACAGGAGCCCACUAUCACUGUGUGAACAUUUUGUGAAUGAAGACAUGUAUGAAAGGAUGUUUGGAGGCUUCAAGAAACGAAAGCCGAGAGUCUAGCUAGACCAGAGCCAUCCAGCCCAGGAGCGAUGGCCACGUGUGGCCGCUGGACACGAGAGACGUGGCCAGUCCAAACUGUGCAGUGCGGGGCAGUGGAAGCCGUUGGAGGGCCUCAGGCAGGAACACAAGGUGUCGUGGCAGAAAGGAAGAAGGGGCCGGGCACGGUGGCCCACACCCGUCAUCCCAGCACUUUGGGAGGGAGGCCAAGGCAGGAGGAUCGCUUCAAUCCAGGAGUUCAAGAUCAGCCUGGGCAACACAGCAAGACCCCGUCUCUACUAAAACCCUAAAACUUAGCCAGGCUUGGUGGCAUGUGCCUAAGGUCCCAGGUCCUCGGGAGACUAAGGCAGGAGGAUUGCUUAAGCCCAAGAGUUUGAGGCUGCAGUGAACUAUUAUCACACCACUGCACUCAGCCUGGGUGACAGAGUGACUCUGUCUCAAAACUAAAUAAAUAAACAAUAAUUGUGUUAUUCUGUCUCCAUUUCUCGCAUACUGAAUUUAAGGUGGACUCAGCCAGCGGGUUCAGGCCCAGGGUCUGUCCUGCAGCUACAGUCAGGGUUGGUGGCUGCAGCUGUCAUGGGGGAGCGGUGAGGUUGGGGGAACAGGGGGGCUGGCCUGCAUCCCCCACUUUCAGGUGGGCUCAACUCCGUCUCGUGGCCUAUUGGGGGCCAGCAUGGGCUUCCUUACAGCAUGGAGGCCUCCAGGGUCAAGCUGCCUCUGGGAUGGCAGAGGGCUUUGUGUUCGUGCUCCCACGCCCACAGUGGAGGCAAUACACCCUUUCCAGAUCUAGCAGUACAGGUGCGCAGCACCACACCUCUGUACGCUCUCAGCCUAAGCUGUCCCCAGCCCUCCUGGCCUCUGGAGGAGGGGACGCAGAAACUCCAUCCCGGACAGAGGGAGAGCCAGUGUGUGCACAGGCAGCUUCUAACACUGCUUCGUGGUUUCACACGGCUCCCUCAUGGAGAAGGGGCUGGAGGAGGACAGGGAGGUGUGCAGUCAUCUGGGUGACAUAUGAGGGUGGCUGGGCUUCCAGAUGGCUGCAGUGGAGACCGUAAGAAGAGUGCACGAGGUAAGGCUUCCGAAACGCCCAGCAGGUUCCUGGCAGCUGCAGACAACUCAAUUCUUAGCACUUGCCAAUAGCUGGGGUGUAAACACUCCCGCCGUCGCUAUUUCGGGCUAUGCUCCUUGCCUCCACUGGGUCUGGCUCUUAAAACAGCAAGAAAGCAACUCGGAAGCUGAGUCAGCCCCGUCUCUCCACCGUGCCCACAGAUCCUUCCCUGUUCCAGAGCUCCCGUUGGCAGCCAGCUGGGCUUCUCAGGGGGCAUCUCCAGUCCUGUGCAGUCAGAGAAAACCAGGGAAGCAUCUUGAUCUCACCUAGAAAUUAAGGCCAUCACAUCCAACACCUGCAUUUUACAGAAAACCACUGAUGAUGUGCAGGAGAAUCACAGCUGGGAAGAAACACAGGAGGACCUUUUCCUUCAUCACCAACCAUGCCCCCCCCCAGCCUCCACCCCCGCCCCGAGGGAGAGGCCUGGGGAGCACAGGCUACUUUCUGAGCUUCCGGAAGUUGCAGGUCAACCUGGCGGCAAUUUGGCACCAGGAGCCACCAGUGUGGCCGCGGCCCCUGACCCUGUAAUCCCACAUCGGGCACCCAGCCUAAGAAAACGACACGUUUGCUUCAAGGGCUCAGAGCACCAGGAUUUAAAACAGCAACUAGGAACAACCUAAGAUCCUAGGUGCUCCGAGAUCAAGAUGCCAGAAAAUAAAUCAAAUCAAAUCAAAUCCCAGGCGCAAACGGCCCUCGUGUUCUUACCCCUCCUCUCGCUGUUGGAAAUCGCGGCUCCAUUUAUGGGUGGACAGAAAGACAGCCUCCUAGCACCGGGCUUAUAGCUUCCACGCCCUGUUCUUCUCCAAGCCCUCGCCCG
rnacentral:lncRNA from 1 species